GGUCCAUUGGCUCAAUGGCAGAGCGUCUGACUACGAUUCCUCGGUAAUCAGGAGGUUCCAGGUUCGACCCCUGGAUGGAUCG